rnacentral:rRNA from 1 species
UACGUAGGGUCCGAGCGUUGUCCGGAAUUAUUGGGCGUAAAGGGCUCGUAGGCGGUUCGUCACGUCGGGAGUGAAACUCGGAGCUUAACUCCGAGCCUGCUUCCGAUACGGGCAGACUAGAGGUAGGCAGGGGAGAGCGGAACUCCUGGUGUAGCGGUGGAAUGCGCAGAUAUCAGGAAGAACACCCGUGGCGAAAGCGGCUCUCUGGAACGGUACUGACGCUGAGACGCGAAAGCGUGGGGAGCGAACAGG